GCUUUUUGAGUUUACAUCCUCCGCCUUUGACCACACUCUUUUGUAUCACUUCUGCAUAUAUUUCUCAUUGAGUUCGAUAAGUCAUAGCCAGAGCACAACCAACGUAUCCCCGCACCACCACCAAGCCACCCCACAAUACCGUUGAAUAAGUAUUCCCUCACGUGUAGCCAAUUGAUUCGGUCAAACAUGAGAUACACGUUAUAUAAAAGCAUCUCCUCUCCCAGUCAGUCAAAACCCUAAAAUUCUAAACUCUCUCAAAUGGAAACCAACGCAUCUUCACCACUGUCACCCCUGAUGCUUCCAACCCACGAUUUCGAUUUUAGGGUUUUUUUUGUUUUAAAAAGAUAAAUGAUUUAGUUAGCAGAGGGAACCAACCUCAAAAGUUUGAACCAUAUCCAGUGAGAUUUCAUUUCUUGAUGUAAUUUAAGGUAUGAUUUUUUGUUCAUGGGUUUUCUUCUCCAUAUCUAAUUCAAACAUUUUUCGAAUUUGUGGAAAGAUGAUGUUUUAUUUCACAUAUGCUGAUAUGCAUUAGCAUUUUUGGAAAAAUCAUGUUUUGUUCUCCCAAGUAUGUCAAAUAUCAUCAUUAAUCCCCUUGACCAGAUGAAAAAAAAUGUGCUUGGUUAUAUAAUGUAUUUAUUUUGUUUUUUCAUCAUAUUUAAACGGAGUCUAUUAUAAAUCUGUUUGUUAAAAUGUAUGAAAAAAGAUUUUUUUUAAUUAAUAACAAGGAGGCUAAAUGCAAAAAAUGGUUGUGAGACUAAAUGCAGAGAUUUGGAGGAAGGAAGCUAUGAUAACCAACCAACCAACUUCGAGAAGUUACAUUUGUAAUCAUUUUCUUUUCCUUCUAUUAAAGUGGGUUGCCUUUGUAUUUGUAUCCACAUUGUCUAGCUUGAAUCUGCUACCCAAGAACUGUGAUGAUGUUAUUAAAGUUCAAUGGAGAUCCCUCAUAAUGAAAGGUAACUAUAUUUGUGGAAUUAAUCGUUAAUGUUGCUUGUAAUGUAUAAAGUUUUUUUAGUUUUCAAAAUGAUUUGAAACAUGUCAAGGAAGAAAGCAAAUAUUUGAAGAUUCAAUUUAUAAACUUCUAUGUAAGUUUGAAAGGCUGCAUAUUUAUGACAAUGAAAAAGGGAUAAUGCAGCUUUUGUGUAUAUCACACCCUAAUACUUGCUCAUGGAAACAUUUGCUCUUUUAGGAAUAUAGCACACUUACAUGUAGUAUAAAAGAGUUUGAUGGUGGUUAAUCGGGGAUGCCAAUGCCUAUGAUGAUUAAGGCAUCGACAAGUACCUGCUUAGAAGCUUCUUAUGGAAUGAUAGGAUCACUAGAUGACUACUGGUUUUUUGUUCUUUUAAAAUUUUGAUGCAUAUGAUUAUUAAGGCAUUAAUAAGUAUUUGGUUACUGACCUUUUUUUAUUUCUAAUUGUAGCAUUUUAUCACAAAUUUCAUUGACUUUCAACUGGCUUGUCGUGGAA
rnacentral:lncRNA from 1 species